ACUACAUGAAGCUGGAAUCGCUAGUAAUCGCGGAUCAGAAUGCCGCGGUGAAUACGUUCCCGGGUCUUGUACACACCGCCCGUCACACCAUGGGAGUCGGAAAUGCCCGAAGUCUGUGACCCAACCUGAGAGGGAGGGAGCAGCCGAAGGCAGGUCUGAUGACUGGGGUGAAGUCGUAACAAGGUAGC
rnacentral:rRNA from 1 species